rnacentral:lncRNA from 1 species
CCACUAUAAUUUUUUCACCACAACACAUUUAUCAUGAUUGGAGAGAUGCCUCUAGUAACUUUUUACGCACAUUUUUUUGGGGAACGAAGCAUGGAAAGCAAAAAUUAUCCUACGAGCACCCAAGAUCUAUCUAUGGAGAUGCAUAGCAACAGAGGGGAGAGUGUGCCAAUGUACCCUCGCACAUCGUUAAACGGAAGCGUAUAUCACGCGGUUGAUGUAGUGGUACUCUUCAUGAGCUAAUCGCGAUCCAGCACCGAACGGACGAGACCUCCGCAUUCAGCACACGUGCGGCUCGAUGACGUCUCCGCCUCCAUAAUCCAGCAAAGAACUAGAUGGGAUAUCUACCAACACGAUGGCAUGGUGGAUAUGGUAGUGGAGCAAUGCCAGUAGGGCUUCGCCAAGCACCUCUGGAACUACGAACGAGGAAGAACUCGAGAAGACAUGAUAGGGGUUGCCCGAGGGAGGGGAAAA